UACGUAGGUGGCAAGCGUUGUCCGGAUUUACUGGGCGUAAAGAGCGCGCAGGCGGUCGGAUCAGUCGAAUGUGAAAGCCCCCGGCUCAACUGGGGAGGGUCAUUCGAUACUGUCCGACUCGAAGGCAGGAGAGGGAAGCGGAAUUCCCGGUGUAGUGGUGAAAUGCGCAGAUAUCAGGAGGAACACCGGUGGCGAAGGCGGGUCUCUGGGCCGAUACUGACGCUGAGGAGCGAAAGCGUGGGGAGCGAACAGG
rnacentral:rRNA from 1 species